CUACAUGAUAUAGUUCUCAUUCUGUCUCUCCCGUGAUUACAUUACAGGUGCUUUUGGUUCCUCUCUUUCUUUCUCUACCUCUUCCUUUGUCUUUGUAUCUCUUUUGCAGACCCUUUUGAUUCGAUCCAAUACGAGAAGUCUGUUUAAAUCUUUCCUUAAUUGGGAGGAAUCUAGGGUUUUUGUUUCUUAAUUUUUGUUUCCUUUUAUUGUCUUGUGUUGGUGAAUUGUUGAUUGGAGAUUGUUGUUGUUGGGGGCAUCACGUUUUGUGGGCGCUUGUAGAUCUGAGUAUGGUUUCGUGUUAAGUGGGCAUUUUUCUUUAGUAAAUUUUAACUAUGUUUUGGCGCAUGAUAGGGCUCUCCACGAUGGCACCGGUGAAUGCUUUUUUUGUCAUUUCUUGAAUUUUCUUUUCUUCUUGAUUCGUAUUUAUGUGUUGAUGAAUGCAUCUGAUUGUUAACAUAGUUUCUACAACUAGUCAGCAUCUUAGCUUUUUUCCAGCAAUUAGAGCACUACCAUUUUCUUCAAAAUGGCUCAACUUGCUUUUGAUAGGAGUCUUACUACACUUGAGCUUUUUUUACUUUUGUUUCUUUUUGUUCAGUGUUCAAUUGCUUAGAUUAUUUUUGAGGAAGAUUUUGAUGGUAAUUUUUUUUUUCUCUCCUUGUCUGCGCUCUUAUUAUAGUUGUUGGCUUCCUUUUUUAUUUUGGCACAGUCCUUAGCAUUUAUUUCUUGAACUAUCAUCCAUGGUUAAAAGCCCAAGAAAAGAAAAUAUUCAACUAUGUUUCUGUUGUUUGUUAUUUUAGUAAGUUGUUUUACAAUGUUAUCAACUGAAAAAUCCAUGCUUGGUUAACUAACUCUUGGGAAGUUUAAUAUCUUUUUUUUUUUUUUUUGCAUUAUGUCCUGUUUGGUUGUUGGGAAAAUGCAAGAAAGGGAUGGCAAACAAUAGGAAGAAAAGAGUAAGAAUUUGAGGUGAAAUUUGAAUUUUGUGAUACCCAUUUUGCUAUAGUGUUGAUGCAUGUAAUGAUUUAAGGAUUAUAUCAUCUGCUAAAAUUGCCCAUAUUACAAACAUUUACAUUUCCUUAACAGUAACAUAAUUUGAGGAUUAUUUAUCGUAUUUCUAAUUUUCUAUUAAAUGAUGGUCAGAAAAUGGCCUUCUUCAACCAUACAGAAAGUAACUAGGCUUUGUUUUACUAUGUGAUAAGAGCUAGAAAUUCACCAGUUACAGCCACAUGGAUGCUAACUGCCACCUCAUGUUUCAUGAAGGUUGCAUGAUAUGUAACACCCCUAUGUUUGGUAGUGCGUUCUACUGUUCCAGUGACCAGUGUUGUCCGGACAGCUAGGAUGCCUAGAACUACACUUAGAUAUGGAUGAGGAGACAUAGAAUAAUGAAAUACAAGAAAAGGAAAGACAAGAAAAACAAAGGAAAAAUAAUAGCAAUGAAAUGUAACCAAGUUAAACGAGCCGAGAACCCUAGCGAUAGGUGACCGCACCGGGAAGUCACGGCGUGGACCGUUGACUAGCCCUGGACCCCGGGGAACCCUGAAAAAUUUUUUUAGGACUUAAAUAAAUGUCCAUUGAAGUAUAAAUGCCAUCAGAAAUAUCAAAGAAAAAUUAAUUAAUUAGUACAAAGAAAAACGAGAAAUCGAGAAAAUGACAAAAAUCGGUGUUACCGAAAAAUCAGGAAUAUAACUCGAAGUGGGGCAUUUUAGUCAUUUGACACCUAGAGUUGACUUUUGACCUAAAUGUCCAUGAAAAUAAAGUAGUGUUAAAGUUUAGAGAUUACAUGAAAAAUUAAAGUUGGAAUGAAAUAUAAUAAACGAGAAUUAUGGGGUAUAAUGUGAAUAAUUAAAAGUUUAACAUUACCUUAUUAUUUAAUUGAGUUAGUGGACCAUUAUGCACCAUAUAAAAGCCAAAAGUGGACAGAAUUUUCCACUAUCUUCAUUCAUCUUCUUCACCUCUCAAGUUGCAGAAUUUAAAUUCCUCUCAAAUCUCCAUUGAAACACCUUCAUGCAAGCUUUAAUCUCACUCAAUCUCACAAUGAUUUCCACUAAUCCUUUCACAAGAAAUUGUCCACACAUCAUGGGAAAGCUAUAGCCAGCAAGAAAAGGAGCUUUGGUGAAGGUUGAGAAGUGGUCAACUAAAGUUAGCAAAGACUCAGGGAAGGGGAAGGAAACACUGAGUCAGAGACAAGAAACAGUUAUCAGAGGUAAAAAGAGCAUAGAGCAGUGAAUAAGUUUCUUUGAAGACAUAUUCAGAUCAGCUCCAGUUAGCAAAGACUCAGGGAAGGGGAAGGAAACACUGAGUCAGAGCCAAGAAAUAGUUAUCAGAGGUAAAAAGAGCAUAGAGCAGUGAAUAAGUUUCUUUGAAGACAUAUUCAUAUCAGCUCCAGGUAUAUCAUAGGUAUACCCAUGUACAUAGGUUUUGAUGUAUGCAUGUAAUAGAAUGUAUGUAAAUUAUUUGAGCAGUUGUAUAAAAACUCUUGUAAAAUAUUUUGGUAUGUAAUUAAAUGUAAAUUGUUAUAAAUAUAAAGUUGAUAUUUCAUUUACUUGAAUAGUUUUGUAUUAUAAAUUUUGAGUCUUGUAAUCAAUGAAAUGUUUCUUUAUGAUGAGAGUAGUUUGAAAAUGAAUUGAUUGUUUAUUGAGAAUUGAAUUGUGAAUUGAAAUGAAGUUAUUGAAGUUGUAUUUGAGAAAACAUAUUGGGAGCAUUUUCUUUUGCAGGAUUGAAGAACUGUUUUCUUAAAAUACAGCCGGCACUUUGCCGAAAUUUUAAAAAAAAUUUUAUAACACCAGAUUUUAAUCGAUGAUUUAAAUUUCACAAAAAUUGUUUUUAAAAUCCCUUGUAGUAUAUCUAAUGGGUUAUCGGUAGGCGAAGUACGGUAAUUCAUUAGGUGCACUACGGGAUCAUGUUACAUCUUAUGGGGGAGUAGGGUGUGACAUGAUCUCCUUGGUUCUCUUAAGUUGGCAAAACUCUCAUCCAGUAAUGUUAAUGAAAAUGUAGUUGGUUUCUAAUCCUUUGCUACAGUUUAUAUUCUUCUGAUUAGCCAACGAUUUGUUCCAUUAAUUCUUUGGGCAAUCUUUUUUUCCUAGAAAAGAAUAAUCUAUCUAGUCCAUCUCUUUUUUUUUUCUUUGAACAUUAAAUCUUCAAGGUCACCGAAACCUAAACUCUAGCUCAAAAGAUAUAUUUACCACACACAUAGUACCUAGUCAAAACAUCAAAUCUUCAACCAUUUGUUUAUUUUAGUUUCUUAAUUGAUGUAACUUUUGAUGAUACUGGCACCAAAUCAAGGACCCUAAUUAUAAGGGGAAAUGGAAGGUUCCUUAUAUUGAUAAUCCAGGUAUUCUUAUGAUAUCUUUGAUGGAAAGUAAUUAAAAUUUUUAGCAUGAAAAUUUGAUAUAAAGAACUAAUCCACCCCACCUUUUUUUUUUCAUUUUCUGCUUAAUAUCUCCAGAGCUUGAAGAUGAUCCUGAUCUUUACGUUCUUAAGCCAAUAAAAUAUUUGGGGAUUGAAGUUUGGCAGGUGAAGGCCGAGUCAGUUUUUGACAAUAUUUUGAUAUGUGAUGAUCAACCCCACCUUCUCUCCGGGUUUGGAACUUCAUAUAGAAAAGGAAGCUUUAGAGGAAGUGGAAAAAAUCCGAAAAGCUAGGGAGGAAGAGCAUUCCUGGGAUUACAUGGAUGAUUAUCAUGAUCAAAUGGAGGCUAUGGUGGCUGCUGCUACUACUGAUGCUACUUCAAACUCACAGGAUGAUGAUUCACAAGAGAUCUCAUGUACUGAAGAUAAAACCCGGUGGAUAUUUGACUGGGAUUUUUAGAGUCCAGAUCUGCAGAAGUGUCAGAAGUGUUUAAGGGUGUCACCUCCUUAGUAAUGCAUGUAGAUAGGGCUCAUAUUAGUCAUAUUAUGUAUUUUGUGUAAUAUAAUUAUUUCAUAUGUUAUAAUGCAAUCGAGGAAAUUGU